rnacentral:rRNA from 1 species
AAUUGCCAUCAUUUGGUUGGGCACUUUAACGAGACUGCCGGUGACAAACCGGAGGAAGGUGGGGAUGACGUCAAGUCCUCAUGGCCCUUAUGGGUAGGGCUUCACACGUCAUACAAUGGUCGGUACAAAGGGUUGCCAAGCCGCGAGGUGGAGCCAAUCCCAGAAAGCCGAUCGUAGUCCGGAUCGUAGUCUGCAACUCGACUGCGUGAAGUCGGAAUCGCUAGUAAUCGUGGAUCAGCAUGUCACGGUGAAUACGUUCCCGGGUCUU